rnacentral:lncRNA from 1 species
GUGGGCUUCAUUUAAAACUUUCAUAAGUGCUCUUCUAUGUGCUUCAAAGUUUAAUAACAAGGAGAGAACUGAUAUCUUGGAAGGGGUUUGAUUUAGCUGAUCCACCACCUUAUAUUCACUUUGCUUGAUAAACUUCAAAAAUUCAUUAGCUUCUUCUUCAGACACCGUCUUUUUGCUGGUCUCUUGUCCUUUUUUAUACAUAUCUUCUUUUCCCUUUUCUCCAUUAACCUCCUUUUUCCUAAGUUGCUCAGGAGUGUAUACUCGACCACUCCGAGUCAUUCCACCAAUCCCUGAGAUGUUAGUGACCUCAGUUCCUUUAGGUUCACAACCAUCACUUGGUUGAUGAUCUGCCAAGUGGGAUGUGACUUCGUAUUUCCACGGUACUGCCUUGGUAUUUCCAUAAGGAAACGGG